rnacentral:rRNA from 1 species
CACGUAGGGCGCAAGCGUUGUCCGGAAUUAUUGGGCGUAAAGAGCUCGUAGGCGGUUUGUCGCGUCUGCCGUGAAAGUCCGGGCUCAACUCCGGAUCUGCGGUGGGUACGGGCAGACUAGAGUGAUGUAGGGGAGACUGGAAUUCCUGGUGUAGCGGUGAAAUGCGCAGAUAUCAGGAGGAACACCGAUGGCGAAGGCAGGUCUCUGGGCAUUAACUGACGCUGAGGAGCGAAAGCAUGGGGAGCGAACAGG